rnacentral:rRNA from 1 species
UGGGGAAUAUUGGGCAAUGGGCGAAAGCCUGACCCAGCGACGCCGCGUGGGUGAUGAAGGCCUUCGGGUUGUAAAGCCCUGUCAUGUGGAAAGAACAGUUCUGCGGUUAAUACCCGCGGAAUUUGACGGUACCACAGGAGGAAGCACCGGCUAACUCCGUGCCAGCAGCCGCGGUAAUACGGAGGGUGCAAGCGUUGUUCGGAAUUAUUGGGCGUAAAGGGCGCGUAGGCGGUUGUUAAAGUCAGAUGUGAAAUACUUCGGCUCAACUGAAGAACUGCAGCUGAAACUGCA